UGGGGAAUUUUGGACAAUGGGGGAAACCCUGAUCCAGCCAUCCCGCGUGUGCGAUGAAGGCCUUCGGGUUGUAAAGCACUUUUGGCAGGAAAGAAACGUCAUGGGUUAAUACCCCGUGAAACUGACGGUACCUGCAGAAUAAGCACCGGCUAACUACGUGCCAGCAGCCGCGGUAAUACGUAGGGUGCAAGCGUUAAUCGGAAUUACUGGGCGUAAAGCGUGCGCAGGCGGUUCGGAAAGAAAGAUGUGAAAUCCCACAGCUCAACUUUGGAACUGCAUUUUUAACUACCGGGCUAGAGUGUGUCAGAGGGAGGUGGAAUUCCGCGUGUAGCAGUGAAAUGCGUAGAUAUGCGGAGGAACACCGAUGGCGAAGGCAGCCUCCUGGGAUAACACUGACGCUCAUGCACGAAAGCGUGGGGAGCAAACAGG
rnacentral:rRNA from 1 species